UACGUAGGGGGCGAGCGUUGUCCGGAUUCAUUGGGCGUAAAGCGCUUUAAGGCGGUUCGCUAAGUCGCGUGUGAAACCUCCAGGCUCAACCUGGAGACGCCACGCGAUACUGGCGUGACUAGAGUUCGGUAGGGGAUCACGGAAUUCCUGGUGUAGCGGUGAAAUGCGCAGAUAUCAGGAGGAACACCGGUGGCGAAGGCGGUGAUCUGGGACGACACUGACGCUGUAGAGCGAAAGCGUGGGGAGCGAACAGG
rnacentral:rRNA from 1 species